ensembl:lncRNA
AUUAGAUGUAUUAGAUGUUAUUAGAUGUAUUAGAUGUUAUUAGAUGUUAUUAGAUGUAUUAGAUAUAUUAGAUGUAUUAGAUAUAUUAGAUGUAUUAGAUGUAUUAGAUGCUAUUUGAUGUAUUUGAUGUAUUAGAUGUAUUAGAUGUUAUUAGACGUUAUUGCAUGUAUUAGAUGUUAUUUGAUGUUAUUUGAUGUAUUAGAUGUUAUUAGACGUUAUUGCAUGUAUUAGAUGUUAUUUGAUGUUAUUUGAUGUAUUAGAUGUUAUUCGAAGCAAAAUAUCCAUCUCAGUGUGAUAUAUUGUGGUUAGGUAUUUGUGCACACUGCUCCUCAGUCGAGCUGAUAUCCAGGGUUGGGAGGGUAAGAACGACUUCAUAAGCAAAAGUAAUCGGUA